rnacentral:lncRNA from 1 species
UGUUCAACUUUCAGACAGUGCUUAGAGCAAUUGUGCAAGCAGUGACUUUGAACUUCUCUGAAGAACCUGAUAUCUUGGAAGCUAAAUGUGAGAGUCGGAUGGGACCAAAUCUUCAGCUCCAGCUCCAAAUCACUGGAGUAGAGCACAAGACUUGGUUUCCUCCAAUAUCUCAUCUUCAACUGUCCCAAUACAACAGAAUCACAUCAAAUGUAUAGAUCAUUUUCAGUUAAGCAAGCAUGCAAUUAGCAAUUAAAGAG